GAACGCGAAGAACCUUACCAGGUCUUGACAUCCCUCUGACCGUUCUAGAGAUAGAGCUUUCCUUCGGGACAGAGGUGACAGGUGGUGCAUGGUUGUCGUCAGCUCGUGUCGUGAGAUGUUGGGUUAAGUCCCGCAACGAGCGCAACCCCUAUUGUUAGUUGCCAUCAUUCAGUUGGGCACUCUAGCGAGACUGCCGGUAAUAAACCGGAGGAAGGUGGGGAUGACGUCAAAUCAUCAUGCCCCUUAUGACCUGGGCUACACACGUGCUACAAUGGCUGGUACAACGAGUCGCAAGCCGGUGACGGCAAGCUAAUCUCUUAAAGCCAGUCUCAGUUCGGAUUGUAGGCUGCAACUCGCCUACAUGAAGUCGGAAUCGCUAGUAAUCGCGGAUCAGCACGCCGCGGUGAAUACGUUCCCGGGUCUUGUACACACC
rnacentral:rRNA from 1 species